AGCAGUAGCCACGGUAAUACGAAGGGUGCAAGCGUUAAUCGGAAUUACUGGCGUAAAGCGUGCGUAGGCGGUGAGUUAAGUCUGCUGUGAAAUCCCCGGGCUCAACCUGGGAAUGGCAGUGGAUACUGGCUCGCUAGAGUGUGUCAGAGGAUGGUGGAAUUCCCGGUGUAGCGGUGAAAUGCGUAGAGAUCGGGAGGAACAUCAGUGGCGAAGGCGGCCAUCUGGGACAACACUGACGCUGAGGCACGAAAGCGUGGGGAGCAAACAGGAUUAGAUACCCCCGUAGUCCCUGUCUCUUAUACA
rnacentral:rRNA from 1 species